UAGGGAAUCUUCCGCAAUGGACGAAAGUCUGACGGAGCAACGCCGCGUGAGUGAAGAAGGAUUUCGGUUCGUAAAACUCUGUUGUUAGGGAAGAAAAAAUGUAUAGUAACUAUAUACAAAAGAGACGGUACCUAACCAGAAAGCCACGGCUAACUACGUGCCAGCAGCCGCGGUAAUACGUAGGUGGCAAGCGUUGUCCGGAAUUAUUGGGCGUAAAGCGCGCGCAGGUGGUUUAGAAAGUCUGAUGUGAAAGCCCACGGCUCAACCGUGGAGGGUCAUUGGAAACUAAUAAACUUGAGAGCAGGAGAGAAAAGUGGAAUUCCUAGUGUAGCGGUGAAAUGCGUAGAGAUUAGGAGGAACACCGGUGGCGAAAGCGGCUUUUUGGACUGAAACUGACACUGAGGCGCGAAAGCGUGGGGAGCAAACAGG
rnacentral:rRNA from 1 species